UACGUAGGGAGCAAGCGUUGUCCGGAAUCAUUGGGCGUAAAGCGCGCGUAGGCGGCCCUGUAAGUCCGCUGUGAAAAGUCAAAGGCUCAACCUUUGAAAGCCGGUGGAUACUGCAGGGCUAGAGUCCGGAAGAGGCGAGUGGAAUUCCUGGUGUAGCGGUGGAAUGCGCAGAUAUCAGGAGGAACACCAAUUGCGAAGGCAGCUCGCUGGGACGUUACUGACGCUGAGACGCGAAAGCGUGGGGAGCAAACAGG
rnacentral:rRNA from 1 species